AACUGAACAUACUGUGGGGACGAAAGUCUCUGCUUUUAACUAGAUAGCAACUUUCAGCAGUGGAUGUCUAGGCUCGCACAUCGAUGAAGAACGCUGCGAACUGCGAUACGUAAUGCGAAUUGCAGGAUUCAGUGAGUCAUCGAAAUUUUGAACGCAUAUUGCACUUCCGGGUUAUGCCUGGGAGUAUGCCUGUAUCAGUGUCCGUACAUCAACCUUGGCUUCCUUCCUUCCGUGUAGUCGGUGGAUGGGAACGCCAGACGUGAAGUGUCUUG
rnacentral:rRNA from 1 species